AUUAAAAAAAAAUAAAUAAAAUUAAAAUUAAUAUUAAAAUUAAAUGGCAUGCAUUUUGUGUAUUAAAGUCAUCUAUGUAGAACAUGUUGAUGCUGAAUAAAGGAACAUGUUUCAGAAAUUGUAAUUUUCAUUCAUUCCACCACUAGAUUUUGAGCUCUUGGGGUCUGCCGGGCCUGUAGUAAGAAUUAGGGAUGCAAGGAGAUGUAAGGACCUGUGCCUGCUUGCAAGCGGUCAGGGUCCUCCAUUUAGGGGGGAGAUGCCUGAUCCACGAACAACCAAGUGUGACACAAUGGGAUAAGCAACGACCCCACGGGGGAAACUGAGAAGGGGACCUUCCCAAUCCAGGAAGUGUCGGUCUUUUCCCAAAAAUUUUGAAAUCGACCAUCUUUGCAGGGAUGGAGGAGAGAAGAAAGAAUUACAGAAGGAAAAUCAAACUUGAGAAAGCGAAGCUAUCAGGCAAGUAGAGGUAGGAAUUAAAAAAAAAAAAUCUUCCUCCAACCCCGUGAAACAGGUCACGUGGUCUCCGUGAACAAUGAGCUCAAUUUAAAUGAAUGUAGCCUUUCUUCAAUGAAAUGCACCGUGGAUUUCAAUAUAGACAGUCUGCAUUCCCCAGACUAAUAUAUUUAUCAUCAAACCCCAGCGUAACUCGCCCUACAGUGAAUUCAGACACAGCAUGAAAUUUCCUGCUCUCCAGCAGGCUCACCUCAAUCCAUCCAUUAAUCCCACAAUAACACAACCCCACAUUUUACACAGGUGAAAGUUUUGGCCCCCACUUGCAGAACCUUAGGAGGAUUUACAGGCUUGAGUAAUGAACGUCGGCUUUACACCAGUGGUCCUCAAACUUCAGGGUGCAUCGCAAUCACCUGGAGGGAGGGCUUCUUAAACUACAGAGUUUCUCCUUCUGGAGGUCCUGGGCAAGGCCUGAUGAUUUGCAUUUCUGACAAGUUGCCAGGUGAUGCUGCUGCUGCGGCAGGGACAGCUCUUUGGGAACCACUACUGUGGACUUUAAUAGCAUAAAUUUAAAAGAAAGAAAGGCAGCCUUUCUGUCCCAGGGCAGCCAUCAGCUCGAAGGUCAGCCAAGAUGGGUGCUUACAAGUAUGUCCAGGAGCUGUGGUGGAAGAAGCAGUCCAUGGGUGUCUUCUUCUCAGGGCGCCCUCCCCCAGCCCUCUGCACUCCAUAGCCCCUCCCCCCACCCAGCCCAGCUGAUAAAGAGCACAAACCGGGAUAGAGCAUGGUUAUGUCACCUAUCGGAUUUGUGUGCAUGGUGGUGGCUGUAAACUCCCCAUUCCUAAGGGUGCAACCAAGGGCAAGCCUGUCCAUCACGGUGUCCACCAGCUGAAGUUUGCCGGAAGCCUUCAGUCUGCUGCUGAGGAGUGAGUUGGAUGCCCGUGUGGGGCGCUGAGAACCCUGGAAUCUUCUUACUGGGUGGGUGAAGUUUCUACAUACAAACUCUUUGAGGUCAUCUUCUUUGAUCCCAUUCCAUAAAGCAUCAGAAGAAAUCCUGACACCCAGAGGAUCACCAAACUAGUCCACGAGCACAGGGGGAUGCCAGGGCUGACACGUGCAGGCUACAAGAGCCAUGCAAAAGCCUUCCAUGGGCCUUGGACGGGGCCCCAAGUUCCACCACAUUAUUGGUCCUCCUGUGCAGCUUGGAGAAGAGGCAACACUCCCCAGCUCCCCGUUAUUGCUAGGGGGUGAUUUUUCUGACACUGCUAUGACAUACUGUGAGGCUUUACCCAUAACACAGUGCAUGAUAUACCUAUAUAUUGUUGGCUGCUUAGAGAACCAUAUUCCAGUUGAAAUUGACAGAAAUUUCACAAGACCUGACUGUCCUCGCAGCGCUGUUGAAGGAGCAUCUCGGUUCAAGUCAGCAACAGGCACACCUGGGAGUGGAACAUUCUAUCAUGAUGAUUCAUAAACUAAAGCUUUGAGAGUCUAAGUCGCAGACUCAUAAAUGGCUGAGCCAGGAUUCAAACCCAGAUGUGUCUGACUGCAAAGGCCAUUUAUUCAAACUGCUAUGCUACAACCAUGUUGUCUAUAUAAAAUGCAACUUAUUCUAAAGAAGGAAGCAUUGCCAACACAUGGAGAGUAAUUGGAGACCCCAGGAGACAGUGAGAUCCCAGGAAACAUCCAGGGUAGAAUUGGGACAGAUCAGUGGAAAUUGCAGACUUCCUGUGGCUUCCCAUACAGGAAUCUGGCUUCAACAUGUUCAUUGCCUGGAUGAUCUUCAAUUCUAUGACUCAAAGAUUCUGUGAGAGUCAGUGUCUUUAUAGAGGCAUGAUAAUGAACUUUCCAACACA